GAGGAACCGAGGAGGCCAGCAGAGUUAGCUGUUUCAAAGUCAGCUAGAGGUUUGCAGGUUUAGGAUAGACCGGGAAGUCGUCAAGGUUGAAGGUUGUAUUAAGUGUAAUAGAUUAGUAGUGGACAUGUAAAGUAAAAUGGUACAAUGUAACGUAAUGUAGAGAAAUGUUUCACGGUUUAGUAUUGUACUUUGCCCUAAUAGUAGUGGUAAUUCCUUUUUGUACA